rnacentral:rRNA from 1 species
GAUGAACGCUGGCGGCGUGCUUAACACAUGCAAGUCGAACGGAAAGGCCCUGCGUUUGUGGGGUGCUCGAGUGGCGAACGGGGGAGUAACACGUGAGUAACCUGCCCUUGACUUUCGGAUAACUUCAGGAAACUGGGGCUAAUACCGGAUAGGAGCUCCUGCUGCAUGGUGGGCGUUGGAAAGUUUCGGCGGUAGGGGAUGGACUCGCGGCUUAUGAGCUUGUUGGUGGGGUAGUGGCUGACCAAGGCUUUGACGGGUAGCCGGCCUGAGAGGGUGACCGGCCACCUGGGUACUGAGAUACGGAGCAGAAGCGAACGUGAGGCAAUGGGCGGGAGUAUUACACAGUGAGCCGGAGCGUGAGGCAGCAACGCCCCGUGCGGGAUGACGGCUUUCGGGGUGUGAACCGCUUUCGACUGUGACGAAGCGGGAGUGACGGUAAUGGGUAAAGAAGCACCGGCUAACUACGUG